GUGGCUCAAAGGAGUAGGGCGCUGGCCCCAUAUGCCAGAGGUGGCGGGUUCAAACCCCGCC
rnacentral:tRNA from 1 species